GGAUGUGAGGGCGAUCUGGCUGCGACAUCUGUCACCCCAUUGAUCCCCAGGGUUGAUUCGGCUGAUCUGGCUGGCCAGACAGGUGUCCCCUUCUUCCCUCAUGCUCCACGUGCGUCCCUCCCAUGGCUGCGCGUGGAAGAGAACGACCUUCCGUGAUAGACGGAGGACCUUCCUUCGGUCAAGGUUAUAGGAGUAGCUCCUGCUAGAACCUCCAGACCAGAGAUCAAUAUCUAUAUCCAUCCAUCUGGGAAGAACUCCAUCUUUUAGCCACUUUGGAAAAUGACAUGACUCCAGUAAAAAUAGUAAAUG
rnacentral:snRNA from 1 species